rnacentral:lncRNA from 1 species
ACUACAAACAGUUGGGACAUCUGGAACGGGUUCAUGAAAGUUCCUCUGUCUGGUUCAGUGCCUGGUCACAGCAAGUUUUCCUGGCACAAGUGAGUGGAAAGAGCACUUUGGCAUGGAGAGGAAAUGAGCAGCGGAGGGUGAAAGGUGUCCUGGCAGGCACUUCCCAUUUGUGUCCUUAUCUCCCAGCCUCCAGCUGUCUUCAAAGGCUUCCCAGCUACUGUGUCCUGCAAGUUCAAAACCCUGCAGCCCUCUGGGACUGGAGAUGUGUGAAGGAGCACAAGGAUUGGAGUUGAAUGACAGUGUAAGUAUCAGUUGUCACUGCAAGGAAUGUUUCCCUCAUUUCCAGAAG